rnacentral:rRNA from 1 species
GACGAACGCUGGCGGCGUGCUUAACACAUGCAAGUCGAACGGAAAGGCCCUGCUUUUGUGGGGUGCUCGAGUGGCGAACGGGCGAGUAACACGUGAGUAACCUGCCCUUGACUUUGGGAUAACUUCAGGAAACUGGGGCUAAUACCGGAUAGGAGCUCCUGCUGCAUGGUGGGGGUUGGAAAGUUUCGGCGGUUGGGGAUGGACUCGCGGCUUAUCAGCUUGUUGGUGGGGUAGUGGCUUACCAAGGCUUUGACGGGUAGCCGGCCUGAGAGGGUGACCGGCCACAUUGGGACUGAGAUACGGCCCAGACUCCUACGGGAGGCAGCAGUGGGGAAUAUUGCACAAUGGGCGGAAGCCUGAUGCAGCAACGCCGCGUGCGGGAUGACGGCCUUCGGGUUGUAAACCGCUUUCGCCUGUGACGAAGCGUGAGUGACGGUAAUGGGUAAAGAAGCACCGGCUAACUACGUG